GAUGAACGCUGGCGGCGUGCUUAACACAUGCAAGUCGAACGAGAAGUGAAGACGGAACCCUUCGGGCGGAAGGCUUUAUUUCGAGUGGCGGACGGGUGAGUAACGCGUGGGUAACCUGCCGCAUACAGGGGGAUAACAGUUGGAAACGACUGUUAAUACCGCAUAAGACCACAGCACCGCAUGGUGCGGGGGUAAAAACUCCGGUGGUAUGAGAUGGACCCGCGUUCGAUUAGCCAGUUGGCGGGGUAACGGCCCACCAAAGCGACGAUCGAUAGCCGAUCUGAGAGGAUGACCGGCGACAUUGGGACUGAGACACGGCCCAGACUCCUACGGGAGGCAGCAGUGGGGAAUAUUGCACAAUGGGGGAAACCCUGAUGCAGCGACGCCGCGUGAGUGAAGAAGUAUUUCGGUAUGUAAAGCUCUAUAAGCAGGGAAGAAAAUGACGGUACCUGAGGAAGAAGCCCCGGCUAACUACGUG
rnacentral:rRNA from 1 species